CCUGGCUCAGGAUGAACGCUGGCGGCGUGCUUAACACAUGCAAGUCGAACGAUGAAGCCCAGCUUGCUGGGUGGAUUAGUGGCGAACGGGUGAGUAACACGUGAGUAACCUGCCCUUAACUCUGUGAUAAGCCUGGGAAACUGGGUCUAAUACCGGAUAGGAGCGUCCACCGCAUGGUGGGUGUUGGAAAGAUUUAUCGGUUUUGGAUGGACUCGCGGCCUAUCAGCUUGUUGGUGAGGUAAUGGCUCACCAAGGCGACGACGGGUAGCCGGCCUGAGAGGGUGACCGGCCACACUGGGACUGAGACACGGUCCAGACUCCUACGGGAGGCAGCAGUGGGGAAUAUUGCACAAUGGGCGNAAGCCUGAUGCAGCGACGCCGCGUGAGGGAUGACGGCCUUCGGGUUGUAAACCUCUUUCAGUAGGGAAGAAGCGAAAGUGACGGUACCUGCAGAAGAAGCACCGGCUAACUACGUGCCAGCAGCCGCGGUAAUACGUAGGGUGCGAGCGUUAUCCGGAAUUAUUGGGCGUAAAGAGCUCGUAGGCGGUUUGUCGCGUCUGUCGUGAAAGUCCGGGGCUUAACCCCGGAUCUGCGGUGGGUACGGGCAGACUAGAGUGCAGUAGGGGAGACUGGAAUUCCUGGUGUAGCGGUGGAAUGCGCAGAUAUCAGGAGGAACACCGAUGGCGAAGGCAGGUCUCUGGGCUGUAACUGACGCU
rnacentral:rRNA from 1 species